UACGGGGGGGCAAGCGUUGUUCGGAAUUACUGGGCGUAAAGGGCUCGUAGGCGGCCAACUAAGUCAUACGUGAAAUCCCUCGGCUUAACCGGGGAACUGCGUCUGAUACUGGAUGGCUUGGGUUCGGGAGAGGGAUGCGGAAUUCCAGGUGUAGCGGUGAAAUGCGUAGAUAUCUGGAGGAACACCGGUGGCGAAGGCGGCAUCCUGGACCGAUACUGACGCUGAGGAGCGAAAGCCAGGGAGCAAACGGG
rnacentral:rRNA from 1 species